rnacentral:tRNA from 1 species
UCCCUGGUAGCUCAGUUGUUAAAGAAUCUGCCUGCAGUGCAGGAGACCCUGGUUUGAUUCCUGGGUUGGGAA